rnacentral:lncRNA from 1 species
GUUAGGGAGUCUGGUUAUUAGGGUUAGAGAGUCUGGUUAUUAGGGUUAGAGAGUCUGGUUAUUAGGGUUAGAGAGUCUGGUUAUUAGGGUUAGGGAGUCUGGUUAUUAGGGUUAGGGAGUCUGGUUAUUAGGGUUAGGAGUCUGGUUAUUAGGGUUAGGAGUCUGGUUAUUAGGGUUAGAGAGUCUGGUUAUUAGGGUUAGGAGUCUGGUUAUUAGGGUUAGGGAGUCUGGUUAUUAGGGUUAGAGAGUCUGGUUAUUAGGGUUAGAGAGUCUGGUUAUUAGGGUUAGGGAGUCUGGUUAUUAGGGUUAGGGAGUCUGGUUAUUAGGGUUAGAGAGUCUGGUUAUUAGGGUUAGAGAGUCUGGUUAUUAGGGUUAGGGAGUCUGGUUAUUAGGGUUAGAGAGUCUGGUUAUUAGGGUUAGGGAGUCUGGUUAUUAGGGUUAGGGUUAGGGAGUCUGGUUAUUAGGGUUAGAGAGUCUGGUUAUUAGGGUUAGGAGUCUGGUUAUUAGGGUUAGGGUUAGGGAGUCUGGUUAUUAGGGUUAGGAGUCUGGUUAUUAGGGUUAGAGAGUCUGGUUAUUAGGGUUAGAGAGUCUGGUUAUUAGGGUUAGAGAGUCUGGUUAUUAGGGUUAGAGAGUCUGGUUAUUAGGGUUAGAGAGUCUGGUUAUUAGGGUUAGGGAGUCUGGUUAUUAGGGGUAGGAGUCUGGUUAUUAGGGUUAUAGAGUCUGGUAUAUUAGAUUGACAGAUUUGAGCUUUUUCAAGGCUAGUGUAACAAAACAAAAAUUAAGUUUACAAGAGACUUUUUGUCUUUGUUUAUUUUACCUUUAUUUAACUAGGCAAGUCAACAACAAAUUCUUAUUUACAGUGACGGCCUACCGCGGAACAGUGAGUUAAUUGCCUUGUUCAGGGGUAGAACGACAGAUUUUCACCUUGUCAGCUCGGGGAUUCGAUCCAGCAACCUUUCGGUUACUGGCCCAACGCUACCUGCCGUAAAUGAUA